AAGCUGGAGUAAUACGAGCAACAAAAUCGCUGCAACUUGCAACAAAAUCUGAUUUCAACGCAUGUUAAGUAGAAAUGUCGACACAUGUUGCCUUGUGAUUUGUAAUUUUUGUGUAAACAUUUUCAAUUAACAUGCGUUGAAAUCAGAUUUUGUUGCAAGUUGCAGCAAUUUUGUUGCUCGUGUAACACCACCUUUAGCAGU